rnacentral:rRNA from 1 species
GAUGAACGCUGGCGGCGUGCUUAACACAUGCAAGUCGAACGGAAAGGCCGAAGCUUGCUUCGGUACUCGAGUGGCGAACGGGUGAGUAACACGUGGGUGAUCUGCCCUGUACUUCGGGAUAAGCUUGGGAAACUGGGUCUAAUACUGGAUAUGACGAUCUCUUGGAUGGGGUUGUGGAAAGCUUUUGCGGUAUGGGAUGAGCUCGCGGCCUAUCAGCUUGUUGGUGGGGUAAUGGCCUACCAAGGCGUCGACGGGUAGCCGGCCUGAGAGGGUGUACGGCCACAUUGGGACUGAGAUACGGCCCAGACUCCUACGGGAGGCAGCAGUGGGGAAUAUUGCACAAUGGGCGCAAGCCUGAUGCAGCGACGCCGCGUGGGGGAUGACGGCCUUCGGGUUGUAAACUCCUUUCGCAAUCGACGAAGCCUUUUGGUGACGGUAGGUUGAGAAGAAGCACCGGCUAACUACGUG